rnacentral:rRNA from 1 species
UACGAGGGGGGCUAGCGUUGCUCGGAAUUACUGGGCGUAAAGGGCGCGUAGGCGGCCUGUUAAGUCGAACGUGAAAUCCCCGGGCUCAACCCGGGAACUGCGUCCGAUACUGGCAGGCUUGAAUCCGGGAGAGGGAUGCGGAAUUCCAGGUGUAGCGGUGAAAUGCGUAGAUAUCUGGAGGAACACCGGUGGCGAAGGCGGCAUCCUGGACCGGCAUUGACGCUGAGGCGCGAAAGCCAGGGGAGCAAAGCGGG